CUCAGCAAGUCACUUAAAGAAGUCUCAGACGUCAGUCUGCCUCUUUGCUGGAAAGGGCAGAAGGUAUUCAAAUAUGUGUCAGAGGUCAAGAACGAUUUCAAGUCACUGUUCUUGAACUUUGGCAAGAAUUCUGUCAUGGAGAUCCCUCCGGAAAACUACCUCAUUGUCACUGUAAGCGUUCGAUAA
rnacentral:rRNA from 1 species